rnacentral:rRNA from 1 species
UACGGAGGAUCCAAGCGUUAUCCGGAUUUAUUGGGUUUAAAGGGUGCGUAGGCUGUUUGAUAAGUUAGAGGUGAAAUCCCGAGGCUCAACCUCGGAACUGCCUCUGAUACUGUCUGACUAGAGAAUGGUUGCUGUGGGCGGAAUGUGUGGUGUAGCGGUGAAAUGCUUAGAGAUCACACAGAACACCGAUUGCGAAGGCAGCUCACAAAGCCAUAUCUGACGCUGAGGCACGAAAGCGUGGGGAGCAAAC